rnacentral:rRNA from 1 species
GACGAACGCUGGCGGCGUGCCUAAUACAUGCAAGUCGAACGAGAGCGCCCGGUGCUUGCACUGGUCAAUCUAGUGGCGAACGGGUGAGUAACACGUGGGUAACCUGCUCAUCAGAGGGGGAUAACAUCCGGAAACGGAUGCUAAAACCGCAUAGGUCUUCGAGCCGCAUGGCUUGAAGAGGAAAAGAGGCGCAAGCUUCUGCUGAUGGAUGGACCCGCGGUGCAUUAGCUAGUUGGUGAGGUAACGGCUCACCAAGGCCGUGAUGCAUAGCCGACCUGAGAGGGUGAUCGGCCACAUUGGGACUGAGACACGGCCCAAACUCCUACGGGAGGCAGCAGUAGGGAAUCUUCCGCAAUGGACGCAAGUCUGACGGAGCAACGCCGCGUGAGUGAAGAAGGUUUUCGGAUCGUAAAACUCUGUUGUUAGAGAAGAACAAGUGCUAGAGUAACUGUUAGCGCCUUGACGGUAUCUAACCAGAAAGCCACGGCUAACUACGUG